rnacentral:tRNA from 1 species
GUGGGGAUGUGGCUCAAGUGGUAGAGCGCUUGCCUAGCAUUCGUGAGGCACUGGGUUAGAUUCUCAGCACCACA